rnacentral:rRNA from 1 species
GGGGCAGCGGGAUUGAAGCUUGCUUCAAUUGCCGGCGACCGGCGCACGGGUGAGUAACGCGUAUCCAACCUUCCGUACACUCAGGGAUAGCCUUUCGAAAGAAAGAUUAAUACCUGAUGGUAUGAUGAGAUUGCAUGAUAGCAUCAUUAAAGAUUUAUCGGUGUACGAUGGGGAUGCGUUCCAUUAGGUAGUAGGCGGGGUAACGGCCCACCUAGCCAACGAUGGAUAGGGGUUCUGAGAGGAAGGUCCCCCACAUUGGAACUGAGACACGGUCCAAACUCCUACGGGAGGCAGCAGUGAGGAAUAUUGGUCAAUGGACGAGAGUCUGAACCAGCCAAGUAGCGUGAAGGAUGAAGGUCCUACGGAUUGUAAACUUCUUUUAUAAGGGAAUAAACCCUCCCACGUGUGGGAGCUUGUAUGUACCUUAUGAAUAAGCAUCGGCUAACUCCGUGCCAGCAGCCGCGGUAAUACGGAGGAUGCGAGCGUUAUCCGGAUUUAUUGGGUUUAAAGGGAGCGCAGACGGGUCGUUAAGUCAGCUGUGAAAGUUUGGGGCUCAACCUUAAAAUUGCAGUUGAUACUGGCGUCCUUGAGUGCGGUUGAGGUGUGCGGAAUUCGUGGUGUAGCGGUGAAAUGCUUAGAUAUCACGAAGAACUCCGAUUGCGAAGGCAGCACACUAAUCCGUAACUGACGUUCAUGCUCGAAAGUGUGGGUAUCAAACAGGAUUAGAUACCCUGGUAGUCCACACGGUAAACGAUGGAUACUCGCUGUUGGCGAUAUACUGUCAGCGGCUUAGCGAAAGCGUUAAG